UCCCUGGUGGCUCAAGAUGGUAAAGCGUCUGUCUACAAUGCAGGAGACCCGGGUUCGAUCCCUGGGUUGGGAA
rfam:TPA: Bos taurus chromosome 16, whole genome shotgun sequence.